GAUGAAGAACGUAGCGAAAUGCGAUAAGUAAUGUGAAUUGCAGAAUUCAGUGAAUCAUCGAAUCUUUGAACGCACAUUGCGCCCCCUGGUAUUCCGGGGGGCAUGCCUGUUCGAGCGUCAUUUCACCACUCAAGCCUCGCUUGGUAUUGGGCAACGCGGUCCGCCGCGUGCCUCAAAUCGACCGGCUGGGUCUUCUGUCCCCUAAGCGUUGUGGAAACUAUUCGCUAAAGGGUGUUCGGGAGGCUACGCCGUAAAACAACCCCAUUUCUAAGGUUGACCUCGGAUCAGGUAGGGAUAACCGCUGAACUUAAGCAUAUCAAUAAGCGGAGGA
rnacentral:misc_RNA from 1 species